GAUGGUGUGGGUGCCAGAGUCCCAGGGACGGGAUUCCCUUCCGAGGCCCCUUUGCUUGAAGGCAAGGCAGGGGUAACAGAAGGGUUCUCCACCCUCGUGCAUGGAGCUGGCUGGAAAGGAGACAGCACCAGGCAUCUCCCCACAGUGCACUCUCCAGGCACCACUCCCGCCUCUGCCUCAAUUUCAUGCCUGGUACCAACCACACGCGCCUUGCUCACCUCGUGCUGAGGGCCCACAUCUGCUCCCUCACACGCUGACACAUGCUCCUCAGGCCUGGGAUCUGCAGCCACGGAUGAUGCUGAAGACAUGGACUCCACCUCAGCAGAUGAAUCAUCAGAUGCGCUGGGUGUGACGCUGACUGCCUCUGCUGCAGCAUCUUCCUCAGAGUCACACUCCCAGUCCUCCUCCACAGCCUCCAGUGCUGAAGGGCCAAGACAGGAGGGCGGGUGCAUGCCCUUAUCUGUCAUCGCAGUGUCUCUGGCAUCCAGCAUGCCCUCAGUAGUGCUGGCAGCACUGUUGCUGUCAUCACUGGACUCUUCCUGCACAACUGACAGUCUAGGAGACCACACUCGGGAGUCACCAGAGUCAGGAAACCGGACAGCAGCCCGUGAUGUCGUGGGCCGGAUGCCCGGCAUGCCCUGAACAGUGCCAGCAGUAUUGAAAGCAUCGCCUCUUGCCUGGAGCCUUUGAGUAUUCCUUGGCCAGGAAAUAUUCCAGUGUGACAACAUCCGCUCGUUUCUGUCCUCCUCACGAAUUCUCCGCAGUGCUGGGAUCACAGGAGAGUACCCAUAGGUCUCCCUGUUGAUCUCUCUGGGAUCUUGGAGUCUCCGUGCUUCUCCCAGACCUUGUCCAGAGGAUUCAGGCAUGGCCACAGCCGGCUCUUCUCUUUCUCCUCCCUCAGACACUGACAAGAGGAGUGAUGCUCCAUCAGCCUCCUCUGCAGAGCGUGCAGCCUCAGGAGCAUCUGAGCUUUCUGCAUCUUCCAGCACUGAUGCGGGCAGAGGCUCAAGGUGUCCUGCAGGCCCGGGACCAGCAUCCAGAAGAGACGGUGAACACACAGCGUGUGCCUCAUCAGAUGGGGAAAGAGAUGCAGCCUGCAGGGUGUCAGAUGACUGUCCUGCCAUUUCUAUCCCAGCAGUCUCUUCCAACUCUAGCUGCGAAUCCUGGACUGUAACAUCCCUGGCUGGGGAACCAUCGGAAGCAGAAAACUGGCCCUCAGCCCUCGAUGUCACACUGCAGACUCUCAGUGUGCCCAGAGCACUGUCAGCUGCAUUGGCACCGUCUUCUGCUGCUUGGGGCCUUAGCAGCUGGGGCACGCUCAUGCUGUUUGGCCAGGAUGUGUUCCAGCUGGACAGCAUCUGGCCCUUCCUCGCCUCAUCCCGGAUUCUCCGGAUUGCUGGGUGAACUGGAGGAUAUCCAUACGCCUCCCCGUACGCCUCUCUGGGAUCUUGCAAUCUCUGUGCUUCUCCCACAGAUUGGUUGGAGAAUUCAGGCGUGGUGGUAGCUGUUUCUUCUUCUUCUCCCUCCCAUGGUCUCCAGAAAAGUGGCGCCGCGUUGGCCUCCUCUGGAAACUAUUCAGCCUUGGAAGAAGUUGAGUUUUCCCCAUCUUCAGGACCUGUUACAGGCAAAGGCUCAAGGUGUCCUCCAGGCCCAGGCCCAGCAGCCAGAAGAGAAGCUGAACACAGGGUGUCUGCCUCAUCAGAUGAGGCAAGAGAUGCGCUCCACAGUUGGCCAGAUGACCAUCCUGUGGAUUCCUUCUCAGCAGCCUCUUCCAACACUUGCAGCUCCGUCUGCACUCCAACAUCCCUGGUUCCGGCACCACCAGAGGCAGGAACCUGACCCUCAGCCCUCGAUGUCGCGGAGCGUACGCCCAGUUUUCCCUGAGCAGUGUUGCUAGCACUGGCACCAUCGUCUGCUGCUUGGGGCACGAGAAGCUUGGGCACGCUCACAGAGUUUGCCGAGCACAUGUUGCAACUGCACGGCAUCUCUGGUGCUUGCUGAGGUCUUGGGGCAAGUACUGGGAGUCUGCUGCCUCUAAUGCUCAUGGCAUGUGCGCUGCUUCUUGCAGAAGGUGUGGAAGAGGCUGCCGCUUGCAGAGCAGGCAGCUUACCGGCAUUAGAAGAUGCUGCCGCACGCCAGGGUGCAGCUGCCAGCAUCCGUGCCUGCCUUAAGCGAGGCAGCAGGGGUGGCUGAGGCUGUCUCCUUUGCCGACUAGCACUGCCGCAGGUCACCGACAGCGUGAACUCUUACCCGUCUGUCUGCAAAGAGGAGAAACACCACGUGAGUGCGGUCCUUCCCGCUCACGCUCCACGGAGCACCAAGGGCAGCACUCAUCCCAUGGGUGGCUGCUGCCCUGCUCUGCACAGCUGAACCAGAGCAGGCCCAGUCCACACACAGCAGCCCCCACGGCCUGGCAGCCCACUGUGGCAGCCCUGCUCGCAUGCCUGGGCAGCCGGCUGGCUGCGGCUCAGUGUCAUCCAGGUGACAGUGGGCCACCAGCAGCAAGUUGCAGCGUGUGGUGCAGCAGUGGAAACGGCCGCGUCCGGCACGGAGCGGCCCCCGCCCUCGUCUCAGUGCCCAGCCUGGCCAAGUACACCCGGCCCAAGUGCCGGUCCGCACCUCAGUCCUGUCUUGGUGUUGCAGCUCUCCAGGACCCGUGUAAAGCUC
rnacentral:lncRNA from 7 species